rnacentral:misc_RNA from 1 species
CAACAAGUUCCACGUUGCUACCUAUUUAUUUGGACAAAACUGUGGAAUUAACUUACCAAACCUGAAACUAGACACUGCAAUUGCCACAAUUCUGAGCCAAUUUGUGAUAUAUUUUCAGAAGCAGCAUUAACAUCAUUUUGAAUUGCCUUUGAGAUCUCUUUUUGGCUCUCCAUUUUAUCAUCCAAAAGCUGUAUUCGCUGAGUCAGAUGUACUUUUGCAGCAGAUAGAGCCUCGGUUACUUGCUCCAGAUGCUUCGUCAA